rnacentral:rRNA from 1 species
GACAGAGGUGCCGAGCGUUAGGCGGAAUCACUGGGCUUAAAGCGUGUGUAGGUGGAUGCCUAAGUACCUUGUGAAAUCCCACGGCUUAACCGUGGAACUGCUGGGUAUACUGGGCGUCUUGAGCCACUCAGGGGCUACCGGAACAAGCGGUGGAGCGGUGAAAUGCGUAGAUAUCGCUUGGAACGCCAAUGGUGAAAACAGGUAGCUGGGGGUGUGCUGACACUGAGACACGAAAGCCAGGGGAGCAAACGGG